rnacentral:rRNA from 1 species
GACGAACGCUGGCGGCGUGCCUAACACAUGCAAGUCGAGCGAGAAACUUCGGUUUCUAGCGGCGGACGGGUGAGUAACACGUGGGUAACCUGCCUCAAAGAGGGGGAUAGCCUCCCGAAAGGGAGAUUAAUACUGCAUAAUAUCAGGAUCUCGCAUGGGAACUUGAUUAAAGGAGCAAUCCGCUUUGAGAUGGACCCGCGGCGCAUUAGCUAGUUGGUGAGGUAACGGCUCACCAAGGCGACGAUGCGUAGCCGACCUGAGAGGGUGAUCGGCCACAUUGGAACUGAGACACGGUCCAGACUCCUACGGGAGGCAGCAGUGGGGAAUAUUGCACAAUGGGCGAAAGCCUGAUUCAGCAACGCCGCGUGAGUGAUGAAGGCCUUCGGGUUGUAAAACUCUGUCUUCUGGGACGAUAAUGACGGUACCAGAGGAGGAAGCCACGGCUAACUACGUGCCAGCAGCCGCAGUAAAAC